CACUCCAUAAAUGUUCAUCUGUCACUACCCAGUAAGGGAUGCUUCAGGCCUUUGGCUUUUAUCCAUUAGCUGAUUAACUCUGGGCUCAGCAUCAUGCUGGAGUCUGGGGUGGGAUGCAGAAUUUCAGGGCAUGGUCCUUCACCUUCAACAAGUUCCCAGUCUUUUGGGGAGGACGCAGCAUGCACUGGAUAAAAGAGCUGAGCUUCAGUAAAACUACGUUCCUGCCUGGUCAGAGAGCACUCAGCAGGCAGGGAAGCUCAGACAGGAAGCAAGACUCACGUGGGCCCCACAGGAUUUCAAGCAGGAGAUGAGAGGACGCUUCAGGUGAGAGAAUUUGGUUAACAGGUUGGCAGUGGGAUGACAGUCAGUGCUGAGGGGACAGUGGGAGGCUGUCUAAUAGGCUUGAUGAGGUCAAGACAGACUAGAUUCUGAGAGAUCUUGAAAACCAGAUCACUACAGUCAUACUGGUGGGAGAGAGAGGUUCAUAUGCUCUAUGGCAGUGGAGCUUGGUAAGGACGGAACCAGCUCAGGAAGGUCAAGUUGGCAGCGGCCCCACAGAACACAGCUUGACCCUUCCCUAAUCCCUGGGGUGGAGGAUUCUAGUCCCUAGAACAAGGGAAGGGGAGCAAGGCUGCCAAAGGAGGGCCUUCCCUUGCAAUCCUCCACCUUUUUCUGUGACUCUCUUUUGCUUCUGCCAACAAGUUAUUACUCAUUCCCUACUUGAGGCUGUUGAUUCCCACCCCUGUGCCCUCAUGGCAGUCGCAGCCAGUCCACCUUCCUCUGUCCUUGCCUUUGCUCCCUCCAUUAAAAUUGGCUCCAGGUGUGCCAGGAAGCCACACCUGAUUAACCCUACCUGGGGUGCCCCUCCUCAACACAACACUGUGUCCUUGGUGUCCUUCCCUAUUGGUGAGGUCUUCUGGAUGAGAGGCGGCGUUCUGCCUCUAUGGAACAUGUUUUGCAUGUAUUUCAGAAUGGUGCCUGCCUUCUCCAACAAUAUAAACCAUCAGUACUCCAGGAGGUGAAGUCGACCUCAUUCUUAGUGUAGAUGACUAAUUAUUAUGCAAUUGGAGAAAGCAGAAAGUAAAGGGGCCCUUUGUUCCUGGAUGCUUAUUAAUAUUAAUAAAAAAGGUCUCCCCUUGCCAGCUUGGAAUCCUGCAGAACAGGAGGUAGGCAAAUAAUGCUUUUGAACAGCUGUGAUUGGCUGUUGGAAUUGGACCUGUCAGGAUGAGGGAGACACGAUGAAAUCUACUGUGUGGCAUGGAUAGGAAGGUUCCACCCAGCACCUCAACAUUCACACUAACCUAUGAGUUCCCGUAAGGGAAGGAUAUCUUGCAAGUGGUUGGAUAGGAUGCUAGAGACACCUUCCACCCAAUUUUAAUACAUGAUGAUAAUAGUCAUAUUCAUAAAACUGCUCCAUUAUGAGUGAGCCAAGUACUGUGCUACGGCCACCUGCCUUACCCCCAUCUAAUUCUCAUAAUCCUAUAAAGAGGGCACUCUCUUGUUCCCAUUUUUUAAAUCUUGAAACCGUGGCUUAAGUAGCUUGUCAGAGGUAGUAGAGACAAGAUUGGAACUUGGGUCUGUCUUGUCACAUCUGUGCUCUCAGCCAUGUCAGCGGAUGCUCCAUCAUACCAGCCCCUCCGAUUCCUGAGCAGAGGUCGGCAUUCUUAACACCUAUUCAAGGGCAAACCACCGCUGCCCAUCAACUUAAUUCUGCCCUUGUAUCCUUGGGGGAAGAGAGAACCUAAAACCAUUUACAAGAGGCCUCAGGAAGCAUUAUAUAUGCACAUUUUGCACCUGCUUCUGCGUCGCAGACUUGAGGUCAUGGUUGUGUCUGGCUUCGGCUGACAUUUCUGAUCUGGCUUCCAGUCCCUGAAUCCUUUUCCGACCACAGGCAGACAAAGGAGGCCCAGAGCAGGCGUGGUCGGGUAAGAGGGAGCCAGCCUGAAGGUAGUUAUUAUUCUGUGAAAGGGGCCUUUAGCUGAAACAGGACUGAAGGAAGUUAGCCACUGCCCAAAAGAAGCGAGGCCAUGGAGCCAGGGAGGGCCUCUUGGGGCAGGACAGACCUUCUCCCGCUCUCCUUAGGGAUGAGUCAACGUCCCUUCGGUGAGCAGUGAGGCCUGACUCUGGAAGGUCGCUGGGAAGCCCAGCCCAGCCGUGGGGCUGCGAGGGGAUUGGCCGCCCCGUUGCUGGGGCUUUGCUUUGGGCCAAUGGCCGUGAAGGGGCGGGGCCGGAGGCGGGAGCCCGGGAUCCUCGGCCAAUCAGCUUGCAGGGAGGUUGGGCACCCGGUACUAUGGCAACAGCGAGCAGGGGCUCAUUUGUUUUGUAGAUGAGUAAUUACUACGCAAUUAGAGAAAGCUAAAAAUAAAGAGGCCCUUUGUUCCUGGUUACUUAUUAAUAUUAAUAAAACGGUCUGUCCAGGUCUGUGGUGAGCAAUCAGUGCAGACCUGUGCGCCUGUGGUAGAGCACUGUGGGAGGCGAAGGCUCUCUUUCUGGAAGUUAUUUCUGACUGUAACCUGCAGAAGGUUGACUUUCCCGGCGGCCUCCGGGAGGAUAAGAACAUGAAAGAGUAGGGAAUCAGAAGGCUUGAUUCUGGUCUAGCUCUGCCAUCCAACAGGCUGGAAUCAUCUGGAGAGUUUUUGAAAUUCCUGGUAUCCAGGCCACCCUGCAGACCCAUCAAAUCAGAAUCGACCAGGGUCAGCCCCAGGCCUCAGUAGUAGUUAAAACUUGGACUCAAGUACCACCAGCUUCUUGUCAGCUUCACACCAUCUCUAUGACUUUAUCACCAGCAUCCAUAUCUCAAGUGAAUAAAUAGAACCAAGCCAGGUAGGUUGCCCCCACCUCAUCUCAUGACCAGGAGAGCUGGUCUGGAUCCUCAGCCUGCAGCCUGGGAGCCCAGGGCUGUCCUGCCUGCCCAGGAGGGCCAUCCCUCUAGGGCAGCCUGAAGGGGUCUUUGUCCUCACAGAUGAGAUUCGAGGACAGGCCUGUCCUAGCUGAGAUUAAGAGCAUGUGCACAUAGAACCAACGGCCUGAAGCAGCCAUAAACAUGGAAGCAGCCGCCCUCUUUGACUGUCUGAUGAAUGGGGGUCUUUUGGUUCUAACCCGUGUGCGCCUGGAGUCUGGAACCAGUGAACUUACAGAAGAGGCAGCAGGAUGUGAGUUUUAAAACCACCUGCUGCAGCCAAACCAUAAACAGCCAUCUUUCACGUUGAUCUCCCCUGUUUCCCAAAGUGCCAUAGAGGCUCAGGGCCGAGGCACCAUUGAGUCAUCCAUUCACUUCUAAGAGGGAUCAUGACCACCUUGCAUUUGAGACCAGACCAGACCUGAGCCAGGGCAGCCUGCUGAGAUCCUUUCAUCUGGUGAAGCCUUUGUGGCCCAGCAGACAGUUCACAUUGGCAGAGCAAGCACCAGGCGAGCACCAGAGACCCACCUCAUGGCCUUUCCUUCCCUGGAGCCUUUCUCCCCCUCCUUCCUUAGACACAUAACAACCAGGUCUGUCCCUGGGGACCCUUGGGGCCUGGGAGAAACAGGAACCUGAUGUUAACUCCAUGAAGUUCCUUCUUUGCCCUCAUGACAAAACCUGGGUUCUUUGGCCACCGGGACCUGCUCAAGGCUACUCCAUCCUCAGAAUUUACACCAUAAGCAGAUGGUAGUUAGCCACAUGUCUCUUUUCUCCUUGCCUACCUUCCCAACCAAUUCCAGCCUUGUCCGUUGUGAGGAGGAGACACAUCCACAGACCCAAAUCAGGGCCCAUAGUAGAAGAGCAUCAAGUUAGAGAACAAGCUAUUGUCUGUUGAGAUUGUAUGUCAACAUAAAGUAUGUAGUCCUAGCCACAAAGCUCUGCUCAGACAGGUUCAUUCUGGGUGUCUGGGGGCUUUCUGCUUACACUGAUUGAUCUGAGUGAUAGUACAGAUCUCCAGGUUCACUACUAACAUAUGAUGUGAGGCCUUUAGAGCCAGCCUGUAGUAAAGUUCCCUCUUCAGAGGGGUGUGCUUUGACCAGAAGCUUAGACCAUUUUACAUAAUAAUUAGUCCCAAGUCCUCUGUUCUGCCGUCCAUGCAUUCCCUACUUGAGCUAGCCAGCAUUAACCAGCAGACAUCAGCCCCAGCCCCAGCAGCCUAAAGCAGGUUAGGUUUUGAGAGAACAAGCAGAAACUGCAGUCUUCAAAGACCAAGGCACCGGGGCAGCCCUGGUGGCGCAGCAGUUUAGCGCCGCCUGCAGCCUGGGGUGUGAUCCUGGGGACCCUGGAUCGAGUCCCACAUCGGGCUCCCUGCACGGAGCCUGCUUCUCUCUCUGCCUGUUCCUAUGCCCCUCUCUCUCUCUGUGUCUCUAUGAAUAAAUAAAUAAAAUCUUUAAAAAAACAAAAAAAACAAAGACCAAGGCACCACAGUAACUGACAUUUGCAGUGUUUGUGACACUGACUUGCCUGCCACCCAGUGCAUGAGCAGACACUGUCCACGUGUCCCAUGUGGUAUUUAAGAUGGGCCAGGCAUCCCUGGAUAUGUCCGGAGUUGUUGACCUCAGGCUGAGUUCGUACCUCUGUAAUAUAUUUGUUUGUAUAUGGAGACAGGGAAACGGAAAUGCCAUCACAUUACCCUCUUAAUCCUCCCCUCGUGUUAAAGUGUUUCUCCUCCUGCCCUUCUGAAAUAGCCUGAGUUUUAGCAGAGCUUUCCCAGGUUGUAUAUAAUUGCUGGUCCUAUCUGUCUCUCCCACCUUCAGGCUAAGCUCCAGAAGGAAAGUUAGAGCCAGGAUCCCUGGGACAUAGUGGCCGGGCAGAGACUGCUGGAGCAUAAUUGUAAUUCCCCCUUGCUCUGCUGGAGACAUGCUGUAAUAAUUCACAGCUGAGUAUUUCUCCUUCCAUUAGCAGGAACAGGCUUAUCUUUCCAUGCUGACCUUUCCCAUUUGACCAUCUCCAUUAAUUUAUAGUGGGUCCUACUUUCAGAGGGCAUGGAGGAUCAGAGUGGGGUCCUUGACUCUGUUCCCAGGAAGGCCUUGGCUGCCCGGCUGCCAUUCUUCAGAGCCCAUGAGCAAGGAGUGGCUGGCUGUUGAGAGGGACCUGUGGAAGUCUCCAGUGUUGUAGGAGUCUUUUUUUUUUUUUUUUUAAAGAUUUAUUUAAGAGGGAGAGCACAUAGAGUCAGGAGAGGGGUAGAGGAAAAGGGAAAGGGAAAGAGAGGAGAGAAGCAGACUCUCCCCUGAGCAGGGAGCCCAACUCAAGGCCGGACCUCAUGAUCCCAAGAUCAUGAUCUGAGAUGAAAUCAAGGGUCCAUCACUUAACCAACUGAGCAACCCAGGCACUGGUGCUGUGGAGUUUUUAAUGAAGGCAGAUAGAAGCAUGACAUGGACAAGGUGAAGGUAGAGGGGAGAGUUGGAGGGGCAAUGACCUUGACCUCUGUUUCUCUGGCAUCAGCCUAUCACCACAGCCCCUCUACUCAUUCCUCUUUCAGUUUCUUUACAUUCUUUCAAACAAACAAAAAAAACCUAACACCCAGUGUGAUGGUUGAAAGAAAAUCACAGAGGCUUCUUUUCCCAGUCCUCCAUUCUGUCGGGAGCUGGGGGUUGGGAAGGGGAGCCCUGACACCAGGCAGCCCAUCCCUUCUCUUUGGCCCUGAAAUGCCCUGUGUCGUGAGUUCUGUUUUGGCAGCACCUUACCCUCAGAGCUGGACUGGGCGAGGACAGGCCUGCCAUUGCCUGUACCUCUCCCUAAGAAGCACAUGCUCUAGAAAUGUGAUGGGGGCCACCAGGGCCUCCCACCUGAGAUGAAACCUGGCAGCAGCCGAUAAUUCACAAGGUAGAUGAUUGCAAUUGUCUUGAGGGCUGGCCCUGCCCUUUGACGAAAUGCGAGACCCACCAGAGCAGGACCACGGUCUAACACUGGGACUUGGCGGGGCCCCAACCUGUCCCAGAUAUGUGGGCUGAGCUCACCUAGGGAGGAUUUUGUAAACAGUUCCUUUCUCUGGAUCAGCAAUAAUCCAAUUUUUGGAUCUUGAAGCCAGGCGCUCCUAGAGGUGCCCCCCUCAUAGUCCCAGGCUCUAGCUUUCUGCAUCACAUCCAAUGACAUCACUCAGGGAUCAGAUGGACACCGAGACUUCCACGCUUUUGGGGUUGUUCUGAGUCUCAGUGUGCUAGGACUCCCUGACCCCCACUCUCAGCCCAGCUGCUUCUGACCACAGUUGGGCAGAGCCACAGGCAGACUGUGUGCCUGCUUGGAGGCAGGCAUCUCCCUGGGUUUGCUUUAAAACCCUGAGGAACCCAUGAGCUUUGGAUCCAGUCCCUACAGGUAAGGAUGUAAGCCUGUAGGACACACCUUUGUGAGGGUCUCUGGGAUAAGAUUCCCUGGGGUUUCCUGGGUCAGCCAUGAAGGUACUUCAUUCCCUUGAUAGGAAGUUCCUCCUUUUAUCCAACUCAGAACGCCUCCAACUUUAAGUCAAAUGCAUUUCCUCUUGCUGGCCUCAGUGAGAUUCCAGGCCCUUGCUUUCCUGCCCCUUCCCGCCUCCCACCCUGUGUCUCAGAGUCCUUCAUCGGGUCCAAUGUGAUUAAAUCCCCUAGACAGAUGAAUUGAAGCCUUUUUUGUUUGAGGGGGGGUUUAAAAGAUUUUAUCUAUUUAUUCAUAAGGGACACAAAAAGAGAGGCAGAGACAUAAGCAGAGGGAGAAGCAGGCUCCUCACAGGGAGCCCGACAUGGGACUCAAUGCCCGGACCUGGGAUCAGGCCCUGAGCUGAAGGCAGAUGCUCAACCGCUGAGCUACCCAGACAUCCUGAAUUGCAGCCUUUUGUAAAUCACUUCCUGAUUGUGAACUAUAUUUUCCUAUACCAGAUUUUCCUAAAUUUGCCUAUGGUACCUGUAUUACUGGGCUCUGCAUCCACAACUAUUUUAAAAAUAGGCAUGUUUGUGCUUUCUCUCUGCCACUUUCAUGUAGCCUACUGAGAGGUAGACCAAGGCAGACAGCACUCACAUGGUGCAGAUGAGGACUCCUCCCCUACAGGCUGAAAGGUUUACCCACGGCACACAGCCAAGAGGUCAGUGCCAGGGUCACACUCAGGUCUUCUGACUCCAAGUCCAGUGCUCCUCUCUGCACCACAGCUGCCUCCCUGAGCGUACCGGCUGCCUGGACCCGGAAAGCCCAGAGGAUGCUGGGGACCAGGGGUGAGGGGUGAAGAGGAACUUGCCCAGAAUUAAACUACUGGUGGACAAGUAGCCUCAUCCCAACCCCUCACCCUUCACCCUGCCCAGUGAGCCCCCCUACUGCCUGGUGAGGGGCUUGCCCCAGGCUACCUAAUGCUCACAGCUUCUGCGGCAGAAAUGCCAAGGUGUUUGCAAGACAUUGUCCUCUCCUGAGACAGGAGUCAUGAUGUCCCAAUUUAUAAAUCUCAGCACUGUUUAUUCAGCAACACAUUCUGAGAUCCCUUCCCUACACACACACACACACACACACACACACACACACCCCUAGAGCAGAGCAUACCCUUGCCCAUUGAGAGUGAGGGUCCAUCCCCUCUUCCCACCCCAAUCCUGGCCUGCGGGGAGUGGUUUGGCCCCUCCAGAUGAGGCUGGGUGCCUGGGGAAAGGCACCUCCACCAAGACACUUCCCCGAGCACUGCCUGAGGGCUGACCGCCACAGAAUGCACCCUGGGGUCGGGGCUCAGCAUCUGCCUCCUCAGCCUGCCCCUCCCUCCGCUCAGGUCACCCAGCUCAGAGGGAGAGAGAGGGUCCUCGAGUGACCCCCCUUCCUGUGUAGCCAGCCGGUGUUCAGUAUGAACUCCCCAGAAGGCAACCCUUGGUCCCUGAGGCCUUCCCCCCGCCAGACAGAAGGAACAGCUACCGACAGACUGCAUGCAAAACGGCACUCCCUACUCUUCUGGGGCUCAGAGCCAUUUGCUUGCCGCGAGCCUGCCCAGAGAUGCAUGGGUGUCUGGAUGGCUUGUCUGGGGACUUUAACCCGCUUUCUGGCGCAGGGUCUCCUGCCUACCGAGAGACACGGAGGGAACUGCUGGCGCCGAGCGCGGUGGCCCGACUCCGCGAACUGCGGAACUGCUUAGCGCCUGCCAGCUGCGCCCCCUGGCCGAGACCCACACCCCGCUCCGGCCCGGGGCUGGGGGUGAGCCGCAAGGUGACUUUGAGCAGGCGUGGGGCACCGUGAGGGGCACGUGUAUGACGAUAAUGGGACGUGAGUUUUCAGAGCUGUGUCCUGAUCGGAUGCCUUCAGCGUUGUGACUGAGCAGGGAGGGCCGUCGUGCGUAGGCUAAGAGGUGCUGCUUAUCCUGCUAACCAUGGAAUCCCUUUGGCCCCCGGGGCACACAGGCCUGGGGGAAGUAGAGGGGGCUGUUUCUGGACGGCAGCCUUCUAUGGGCAUGCUCCAUCCUGUCUCUGAAGCCACUUCUGCUGGCUCCAUUAGUCUCUGGGUGGCUCUCCCAGCUGGAGGGAGCCAAGACCCAAACCCCCUUCUCCUAAGCCCCUCAAUAGGUGGGCCUGCUCACACUCUUCCUGCAUCUUCAUCUGGCCCAGAGGAGCAAGAAGCCAAAAAAAAAAAAAAAAAUCUUUCCAUCUUCCACUGCAGGGUCUCCUCCCCUAGCCUCUCUUUACCCUGAAACAGAACUGGCUGGUUACUUUGCAUAGCAGGGGUCAGCUGCCAGGCUAAACCCAGAGUUCACUGUCUGAGCUCAGCUCGCUCCAUUUUCCCUAGCCCAGAGCAAAGAAAAAAAAAAGUGUCAGACCGAGAUAAUACCGUCUUUGAAUAUCUCAGCUUGAUAUUUGCCUCCAUGAGUGAGAAAGGCCAAAUGUUAUCUGCAAGUUUAAUCUUCUGUAUUCAGAAUUCCUGCCCUCUUUGUCUGCCAGUGCAUUCGCAAAUCAGCCAUUCACUUGCUCUAAGCCUCUGUGAUUUUUUUUUUCUCUUUAACCUGUUUUUUCCAUCUGCUAGUUGACUCAUUUCUCAGCUCCUGCUUCCCAGGGGCCUCACUCUAGAGCCUCCUGCCCCAAGGGCACCUGGAGGUAUCAGUUUCCCUUUUUCUGUGCUCAGUCACAAGCCAGAUGCUGCUUGGUUUGAUCUUUGUAUCUCUGUGCCCCAUCUCAGUCUCUGCCAGCCUGGCUGGGGUUGCGUGGUCAACCUCUUCCCAUCCCCAGCACAGGCGGGUAAAAAAAUCAAUCCACGUUGAGCUCUUCAAGCCCCACCAGAUGUGAGGGGACCGCAGGCACAGGUCCCUGGGGCAAGGUCACAGCCAAGAGUGGGGCUGCAGGUGUUAGAGGCAGCUGGUCACCGGACAGAGAGGGAAAUGCCACGGGAAGCAGAGGGAGAAGAUUGCAGUGAAAAGCGGCGCCUUGGAGCCAAAGUCGUGGCAAUAGGCGGUGUCCGGCUUGUCUGGUUCUUCCACUUGGGUUAGCCGUAGCCCCCAAAGUGGCUGGUCCCAGACUCACCUUCAGCUUUCAAAAUCAAUGAGAACUUACUUUUGCAAUUAAAAAAAGAAUAUUCCCCCCAUUUUGUAAAGAAAACUGCUGCUAAGGGGAAAUGAAAGAUGAGACAAAAUUUAACCCAGGUGCCGCUGUGGCCCUCACUGAAGAAGGAAUGAUGGGAUUGGGGGGGAGCAGGGUGGCUACAGAUGGAGGCCCAGGCGGUGUCUCCUCCCGCUGCCCCUCCUCACCACCACUCUCAGGAUCUGUGGCUGUGGUCUCCUCUCUAGAGCACAGGUGCAUUCCUAGCUCUUUGUCUCAGUCUGGAGUUUUAUGAGGUUAAGAGAGAGCAGCCAUUUCAGUCAGAUAUGCUUUAGCUGUAAAUCGGUUCGGUCAGUAUGCUCUGCAUUCAUACUUCUUUGUCUUUUUUUUUUUAAACAAAAGGAAAAAAAAGUUUAAACCCCCCCCUUUCCUUCUACUGCAGGAGGUGAGUGUGUGGGUGUCCUGUAGAACCAUUGGCAUUCACCCAGCUUCGGCCCCAGU